CGGGGUGGAUUAGUGGCGAACGGGUGAGUAACACGUGGGCAAUCUGCCCUUCACUCUGGGACAAGCCCUGGAAACGGGGUCUAAUACCGGAUAAUACUUUCUCUCUCAUGGGGGAAGGUUAAAAGCUCCGGCGGUGAAGGAUGAGCCCGCGGCCUAUCAGCUAGUUGGUGGGGUAAUGGCCUACCAAGGCGACGACGGGUAGCCGGCCUGAGAGGGCGACCGGCCACACUGGGACUGAGACACGGCCCAGACUCCUACGGGAGGCAGCAGUGGGGAAUAUUGCACAAUGGGCGAAAGCCUGAUGCAGCGACGCCGCGUGAGGGAUGACGGCCUUCGGGUUGUAAACCUCUUUCAGCAGGGAAGAAGCGAAAGUGACGGUACCUGCAGAAGAAGCGCCGGCUAACUACGUGCCAGCAGCCGCGGUAAUACGUAGGGCGCAAGCGUUGUCCGGAAUUAUUGGGCGUAAAGAGCUCGUAGGCGGCUUGUUGCGUCGGUUGUGAAAGCCCGGGGCUUAACCCCGGGUCUGCAGUCGAUACGGGCAGGCUAGAGUGUGGUAGGGGAGAUCGGAAUUCCUGGUGUAGCGGUGAAAUGCGCAGAUAUCAGGAGGAACACCGGUGGCGAAGGCGGAUCUCUGGGCCAUUACUGACGCUGAGGAGCGAAAGCGUGGGGAGCGAACAGGAUUAGAUACCCUGGUAGU
rnacentral:rRNA from 1 species